AAAAGCCGGGACCUCUAAGCGGAGGUCAGUUAUCCCUGCGCUGGUCUCUGCAACCAUGAAGUGGAACGUCCUUAUCAUCAUGGUCUUGAUGGCUAUCCUGGCGGCCUAUGUUGAAGCGAAGGCGUGCUGUCGUCACCACCACCGUGGCGGCGGCGGAGGAUUUGGUGGCGGCGGAGGCUUCGGAGGGGGAGGAUUUGGAGGUGGAUUUGGAGGUGGCGGAGGCUGGGGCAAGUAACUGCAAGGAGCCUCUAACGAAUACCAGACCCCCCCAACCUGUCCAAUGGCAAACACCUUAUUACCUUUCCUGUCUGAUGGAGAACACCUCAUGACAUCCCAUUCUGAUUGGAAACAAAUACUGAUCAUCCUGGGUGAUGGAGCACAACUCACACCUCUGUCUGACAGAGACCUUCUCACCACCUACAACUCUCGCAUUUACACCAAAACCUGACAAAUGAUUAUUUCCAUUUUCUUUUGUUUCUAGUGCUGUCAUCACAUGACAACUCUCUUCUCCGAAACUGUCACUAGUUAUGGAGAAGAAAUGUUUAAAUUUGUUAAACAUUUUCGUAAUAAAUUGCUUGUCUCCUA